rnacentral:rRNA from 1 species
AUAUUGCUCAAUGGGAGAAAUCCUGAAGCAGCAACGCCGCGUGGAGGAUGAAGGGUCUAUGACUUGUAAACUCCUGUAAAGAAGGAAAAAAUUCCCAUUUGAUGGGAGAUGAUGGUACUUCUGGAGUAAGCCCCGGCUAACUACGUGCCAGCAGCCGCGGUAAUACGUAGGGGGCAAGCGUUGUCCGGAUUUACUGGGUGUAAAGGGUGCUCAGGCGGAUUUGUAAGUCAGAGGUGAAAUCUUACAGCUUAACUGUGAAACUGCCUUUGAUACUGCAAGCCUAGAGUAUGGAAGAGAGUGAUGGAAUAUCUGGUGUAGCAGUGAAAUGCGUAGAUAUCAGAUAGAACACCAAUGGCGAAGGCAGUCACUUGGUCCAUUAUUGACGCUAAAGCACGAAAGCGUGGGUAGCAAACA